UACGGGGGGGGGCAAGCGUUGUUCGGAAUUACUGGGCGUAAAGGGCUCGUAGGCGGCCAACUAAGUCGGAUGUGAAAUCCCCCAGGCUCAACUUGGGAACUGCAUCCGAUACUGGAUGGCUUGAAUUCGGGAGAGGGAUGCAGAAUUCCAGGUGUAGCGGUGAAAUGCGUAGAUAUCUGGAGGAAUACCGGUGGCGAAGGCGGCAUCCUGGACCGACAUUGACGCUGAGGAGCGAAAGCUAGGGGAGCAAACGGGG
rnacentral:rRNA from 1 species